rnacentral:lncRNA from 1 species
GUUGACAGGAAUCCAACAGCAAGGAGUGAAAUCUCACACUUUAAGUCCCAACAAGAUGUGAUAAUGUUCUUUCCUCACCAAGAUUACUGAUUCAAGAAGAGAUUUGCAAAGCCAAAAAGAACAAGAUACUUAAUUGCAGCUGGCAAUGCUGUAUUUCUACUACAAUUAACUAGGAAAAUCCACUUUCCACAUACCUUUGUGUAAUAUGUUCCCUUUCUUUCCUAUAAAAAGUGCUACAAAUAUGUGGAGAAAUAAAUUGAUUUUUAAAGACAAACAAUUGCUUGAUAGCAAAUUUAAUGCAUUUCAAAUUCUUCUUUCCAAACCGACAAGGAAAAGAGUCAGAUAAUAAGAUCAUGGGCAGCCCAACAAGAAGGGAGCAGCUGCUCAGCACAGAGUACCCUGGAAGAGUACUUGGAGUGAAUAGCAGUGUACCAUGGAGGUCCAUCUUCAUUCAAGCCAGUACUGACUCAUGCAGGAGCAAGGCCUCUUGAAGCACAUGGGAUAAGAUAGUGGUAACAAACCAGUGGAACAAACAAGGUGAGAUAAGAGAGCAGAGCUUGAAGCCACAUUGAGAGGCUUAAGGUUGGCUGAUCUAUCCAAGAUGCAUAACUCGUCCUGUAUUUUCUGAAUACUGCCAUCCUACAAUAUGUUCCUUCCCCUUUUAAGACCAUCACUCCAGCUCAAAUGGGAAGAUGUUUUAGAGAUCUGGAAUCAAUUGUAUGGAAGUAACAUUUUCCUCACCACAAAGUCAUCUUAACCGAGGCUUAGAGACAGCAUCUGUCUCAGCAAGACUGAGUUGUAUCCAGUUCUUGGCUAUGGUGAAAAAACCUUCAGGAAAGGCAAAACAAAUCAGGAUAUUAAUGAUUUCUGUCUGAUUAUUAGAGGGGAAGGACAUGAAGAAUGAUGAAAUGGCAUUGUCUAAUGUUUGCAGGUGGCUGCAUCAUGAUCCUCCCAGCUCAUUUCUAUGUCUUUGGCAUCCUCAUUGACCAGACUACUAACCUCCCAAGAACUCCUUCUCCUGGGUGUGAUUGUAAAGUUCUACUGGUCAUCCCUCUGAAAUCACAAGUUCCAUAUACAUUCCUUACCUGGAGGCAAAGAGGUAAAGUCAAUUCCAUUCUUUACCCAAUUCCUUGUUAUUAUAAAAAUCAAAUUUAGGCUAUUCUGUGCCAUGUCUCAUAUGUCACAUACUCUCCAGUGGUUGGCAAAAUAAAUGAGGUGCUUUUCGGAAGCA